rnacentral:lncRNA from 1 species
UACAUAAAAUUCAAGGCUUUGAAGAUUCUUUUAAAGCUCUUUUAAAGACUUUAUUCCUUUAAAAAGAAGCACAUUUUGGUACACAUAAUAAUGGAUUGGCACGAAAUUGAAGUUCUAAAGAACAAGCCAAUAAGAACUCAUUAGUGAAUUCCAAAAAUAGAUUUUCUAAGAGAUACUCAAGAAAAUCAUUAUUCUUCCCCUUUUUCCAUUAAAUUAGAGGCUCUUAAGAUCAACUAUUUGAAUUGCAAUCUGGUUCAUGAUUGAUGCAUAAGAUAUACUAACCAAAUAACAAGCCUCAAGGUGUAUCGUAAAGAUUUUUAGAUUAAAUUUUAGAUGAUACAUAUUGGAGAGUAUUAGGAUCACUUUUCAUUUAGUAUUCUUUCUCUCUCCUUUAGUUAUGGAUUUAUGCGAUUAAGUUCC